rnacentral:lncRNA from 1 species
AAGAGGUUUGCCCACUAACAGAAACAAAACAUCUGUCAGUCAAGUCUGCGUCCUCACCUGACGCCUAAUCAGCCUCAAGUGGAGACACCUGUGAGGGCGGGGCUGCUCGGUUUGUUGUGCGUCCAGGUCAAGUCAAUGUUGCGUUUCCAAAUGGGUUUAUAAUCUGUACAAAGGAAAAAUCUUGGACCAAGACCUUAGAUCAAGUAAAACUCUCUCCGGACCGACAUGUGACAGUUUCCAGUGUCUGCAGAAAAUGUGUCGCUGUGCGGGAAAAUGUUGUGCAACCAUCCAGUGAUACAAACAACAACAAGGUGAACUUUGCUGCGACCAGAUCACAACCUGACCGUACAACAGACCAUCAUACAAGACAUUUGAGGAGGAAUGUGCGAAACCUGACAGUUUGCAGAGAAGAAGAAAACACGCAGAUUAAUCCUCUGAGGAGUCUCACCUGGUGUAGGAAACUUAAUCUACUGAGAAGACAUCGAGGCAUUUACAUUCACCCUGGAACAAAAGCUGAGUAAAUAAACUCACAGGGGAUCAAAGUGGGACAGGGCUGGCUGAGAGUUCACAUCGUGGUUUCCGAGGUCCCACUGAUGUGAUGUGUUGUUUUCUCAGGUCCAAUAUCAGCCCUCACAAGGUUUUAGUAAUCUGAAGGUGACCUGGAGCUGCAUCCACCCUGUGGCCCAGAUAUACCUGAGAAUUAUUUUUUAAUUCAAAGUCACAUGUGUUGCAUAAAAAAGUGCAGUAUUGAGAUUUUUCAUUAUUUUAUGAAUUAAUUCCUUCUUUUUCCUCUGCAGUUUUUUCCCCUGUUAUGUUUUUAGCUCCCUCCUGUGGCACAGCUCUAAACCUGCAGCCUCAUUUGAAACAGUCCACGACACUCUAGCAGGAAAAAUGCACCGUGAACCCACUGAAAGCAAGUUUUUAAUUUUAACUUUAAGAUUUUUUGUUUAAAUUAGUUUUCCAUUAUAAUACAUGUACAUCUGAGACUUGUUGGUUGUUUCUUUCACCAAACUGAGCUCAACGUUCAACCACCUUGUAUGAAUUGAUCCCUUUGUCAUGCACAUGGCUACAUAAUGAAUGAGCAUAUGACAUUUAGGAGUAAACAUCUUGAUCUGGAAGAAAGAAAUAUCUGGUUUUGACAGUAAACAGCCUCCACUCGAUGCACCUGACUGGCAGAGUUCGGGUUAAUUAUUAGAAAGUACAACUUGUGGUUGUAUAACAGGCUGCAGAGGAAGCAGAGCCAACAGAAAC